rnacentral:rRNA from 1 species
UACGUAGGGUGCAAGCGUUAAUCGGAAUUACUGGGCGUAAAGCGUGCGCAGGCGGUUUUGUAAGUCUGUCGUGAAAGCCCCGGGCUCAACCUGGGAAUUGCGAUGGAGACUGCAAGGCUUGAAUCUGGCAGAGGGGGGGUAGAAUUCCACGUGUAGCAGUGAAAUGCGUAGAGAUGUGGAGAAACACCGAUGGCGAAGGCAGCCCCCCUGGGUCAAGAUUGACGCUCAUGCACGAAAGCGUGGGGAGCAAACAGG